rnacentral:rRNA from 1 species
UACGGAGGGUGCGAGCGUUGUUCGGAAUUACUGGGCGUAAAGCGCGUGUAGGCGGCCUUGUAAGUCGGAUGUGAAAGCCCUCGGCUUAACCGGGGAAGUGCAUCCGAAACUGCUUGGCUUGAGUACCGGAGAGGGAGGCGGAAUUCCCAGUGUAGAGGUGAAAUUCGUAGAUAUUGGGAGGAACACCGGUGGCGAAAGCGGCCUCCUGGACGGAUACUGACGCUGAGACGCGAAAGCGUGGGGAGCAAACAGG